rnacentral:lncRNA from 10 species
CUCAGAAAGAGAGUGAACAACUAGAAGAUGUGGAAGAACCAGUUUGGCUCUGGAGUCAAGAAUUCUCAAAACAGCUUUCUGAACCUGAAUCGCACGCAGUAAAGCUGGUGUUCUCCUGAAGCCAACAUUUAUGGUAUCACCUUGCUGAUCCAGGCAAAAUGGCAAAAGUGUAGUGAACAUAAAGCCAGGGGCUGAGAUUGUGGAUGUCCUCUGUACCAAGUUUCUUAUUAUGGUAAGGGUAGAAGUUCACCAGGUCAGUAAUGUGAUUUUGUCCAAAGAGCCAUUUCUGGAGAUCUAGCCUAAACAUUGCUCCUCCAACUCUUCCCAUAAUUUGUUAACAAUUGAAUAAUUGUUCUGUUUAAAAUAGUUUGGAUGUUUUAUGUUUUCUGCAACUUUACUGUUAUCAUAACAAAGACAUAAAUAAAGAUCUAAAUAAAGUCA